rnacentral:rRNA from 1 species
AUUGAACGCUGGCGGCAGGCCUAACACAUGCAAGUCGAGCGGAUGAAGGGAGCUUGCUCCUGGAUUCAGCGGCGGACGGGUGAGUAAUGCCUAGGAAUCUGCCUGGUAGUGGGGGAUAACGUCCGGAAACGGGCGCUAAUACCGCAUACGUCCUGAGGUAGAAAGUGGGGGAUCUUCGGACCUCACGCUAUCAGAUGAGCCUAGGUCGGAUUAGCUAGUUGGUAGGGUAAAGGCCUACCAAGGCGACGAUCCGUAACUGGUCUGAGAGGAUGAUCAGUCACACUGGAACUGAGACACGGUCCAGACUCCUACGGGAGGCAGCAGUGGGGAAUAUUGGACAAUGGGCGAAAGCCUGAUCCAGACAUGCCGCGUGUGUGAAGAAGGUCUUCGGAUUGUAAAGCACUUUAAGUUGGGAGGAAGGGCAGUAAGUUAAUACCUUGCUGUUUUGACGUUACCAACAGAAUAAGCACCGGCUAACUUCGUG